rnacentral:rRNA from 1 species
GACGAACGCUGGCGGCGUGCCUAAUACAUGCCAGUUGAGCGAUGAAGAUUGGUGCUUGCACCAAUUUGAAGAGCAGCGAACGGGUGAGUAACGCGUGGGGAAUCUGCCUUUGAGCGGGGGACAACAUUUGGAAACGAAUGCUAAUACCGCAUAACAACUUUAAACAUAAGUUUUAAGUUUGAAAGAUGCAAUUGCAUCACUCAAAGAUGAUCCCGCGUUGUAUUAGCUAGUUGGUGAAGUAAAGGCUCACCAAGGCGAUGAUACAUAGCCGACCUGAGAGGGUGAUCGGCCACAUUGGGACUGAGACACGGCCCAAACUCCUACGGGAGGCAGCAGUAGGGAAUCUUCGGCAAUGGACGAAAGUCUGACCGAGCAACGCCGCGUGAGUGAAGAAGGGUUUCGGAUCGUAAAACUCUGUUGGUAGAGAAGAACGUUGGUGAGAGUGGAAAGCUCAUCAAGUGACGGUAACUACCCAGAAAGGGACGGCUAACUACGUG